CACAGGCAGACGGCCACACAAACACACAAAGGCAGACGGCCACACGCACACACAAACACAGGCAGUCAUACACACAGACACACACACACAGUCACACACAGGCAGACAGUCAUACACACACAAACACACACACACUGAGACAGACAGUCACAGAGAUACAGCCAGUCACACUCACUGACAAUCACACAGUUACCUGUGGAGUUCAUUGUGGAGGCAGUGCAGCUCCUGGAGACCGUUUGGUGGGGAAAGCAUGGACUCCUUCCUGCUUCCCCUGCAGCAGUUAUCCGGCACUUAGCAAAACCCCCAUCGCACAGGAAGCUCCGCCCCGCCACAAUUUAAAAAAAAAAAAUUAAAAUUCUG